rnacentral:rRNA from 1 species
GUCGAACGGUAGCACAGAGAGCUUGCUCUCGGGUGACGAGUGGCGGACGGGUGAGUAAUGUCUGGGAAACUGCCUGAUGGAGGGGGAUAACUACUGGAAACGGUAGCUAAUACCGCAUAACGUCGCAAGACCAAAGAGGGGGACCUUCGGGCCUCUUGCCAUCAGAUGUGCCCAGAUGGGAUUAGCUAGUAGGUGGGGUAGCGGCUCACCUAGGCGACGAUCCCUAGCUGGUCUGAGAGGAUGACCAGCCACACUGGAACUGAGACACGGUCCAGACUCCUACGGGAGGCAGCAGUGGGGAAUAUUGCACAAUGGGCGCAAGCCUGAUGCAGCCAUGCCGCGUGUAUGAAGAAGGCCUUCGGGUUGUAAAGUACUUUCAGCGGGGAGGAAGGUGUUGCGGUUAAUAACCGCAGCAAUUGACGUUACCCGCAGAAGAAGCACCGGCUAACUCCGUGCCAGCAGCCGCGGUAAUACGGAGGGUGCAAGCGUUAAUCGGAAUUACUGGGCGUAAAGCGCACGCAGGCGGUCUGUCAAGUCGGAUGUGAAAUCCCCGGGCUCAACCUGGGAACUGCAUUCGAAACUGGCAGGCUAGAGUCUUGUAGAGGGGGGUAGAAUUCCAGGUGUAGCGGUGAAAUGCGUAGAGAUCUGGAGGAAUACCGGUGGCGAAGGCGGCCCCCUGGACAAAGACUGACGCUCAGGUGCGAAAGCGUGGGGAGCAAACAGG